GAGUUUCGAAAAGGAGUUUUCUUUUCUUUUAAGGGACGCAUUCCCUGGAACCCGGGUUGUCCGGAGAUAGGGAUUCUGGUGUGGUGGAAUCCCGACUUUUUCCGGUGUUCGGAGCGCUCUCGUCGGUACGUGAAAAUCCGAGCGACGCCUGGUAAAUCUCGUACUUGGUCGUACUGAUAUCCGCAGCAGGUCUCCAAGGUGAAUAGCCUCUGGCCGAUAGAAUAAUGUAGGUAAGGGAAGUCGGCAAAACGGAUCCGUAACUUCGGAACAAGGAUUGGCUCUAAG
rnacentral:ncRNA from 1 species